UGUAAAAGAUAACCUUUCGCGUUCGCUUGAAUUCGGGAAAAUCCCUGUGGUUCUGAUGAAGAAUAGAUCAGGGACCGGGGUCUAAAUUGAAGCUUUACAGGAUAAAAGUGUUUAUUAUUUGGAGGUAUCUGUAAAGAGUUUUCCAGAAUGAGGCCUCCGUAAUUUUUAAUUAAAUGGAAGAAAAUUCAUCAGAGUCUUACGUAACGGGAGAUAACACACAGAAUCAGACAGACACAGACAGAAUGACGGAGAGAGCCCGGGGGAAAAGUUAGCCAUGGAUCAGAUGAUGUGGGAUGAUGAAGAAGAAGAAGAUGAUGAGAAUGAAGAUGACGGAGAUGAAGACAUCGAUGAUAAUGAUGAGGAAGAUGAGGAAGACUCGGCCAGCAGUGAACAGAGCGAUGAGGAGGAAGACGAGAUAGAAGAAGAAGAGGAC